CUCAAAUUUGAAAUCUGGCUCUCUUUGGGGGUCCGAGUUGUAAUUUGCAGAGGAUGCUUUGGCAUUGGCGGCGGUCUAAGUUCCUUGGAACAGGACAUCACAGAGGGUGAGAAUCCCGUACGUGGUCGCCUGCCUUUGCCGUGUAAAGCUCCUUCGACGAGUCGAGUUGUUUGGGAAUGCAGCUCUAAAUGGGAGGUAAAUUUCUUCUAAAGCUAAAUACUGGCCAGAGACCGAUAGCGCACAAGUAGAGUGAUCGAAAGAUGAAAAGUACUUUGGAAAGAGAGUCAAAAAGCACGUGAAAUUGUUGAAAGGGAAGCGCUUGCAGCCAGACUUGCCCGCAGUUGCUCACCUAGGCUUUGGCCUGGGGCACUCUUCUGCGGGCAGGCCAGCAUCAGUUUGGGCGGUUGGAUAAAGGCCUCUGUCACGUAUCUCCCUUCGGGGUGACCUUAUAGGGGAGGCGCAAUGCAACCAGCCCGGACUGAGGUCCGCGCAUCUGCUAGGAUGCUGGCGUAAUGGCUGUAAGCGGCCCGUCUUGAAACACGGACCAAGGAGUCUAACAUCUAUGCGAGUGUUUGGGUGUCAAGCCCGAGCGCGCAAUGAAAGUGAACGGAGGUGGGAACCCUUUGGGUGCACCAUCGACCGAUCCUGAUGUCUUCGGAUGGAUUUGAGUAAGAGCAUAGCUGUUGGGACCCGAAAGAUGGUGAACUAUGCUUGAAUAGGGUGAAGCCAGAGGAAACUCUGGUGGAGGCUCGCAGCGGUUCUAACGUGCAGGUCGAUCGU
rnacentral:rRNA from 1 species